UGUUUCAGCUUUUACAUUUGAGCAUGUGAAAAAGGUUGAAAGCCAGGCAUUUCACACGAGAUAGAACGGUAUCCCCACAUACGAUCCAAAUAGCCUUGUAAGAUGGGGAAGCCUUUCACUGUUUAGCAGCUGUGUGGGACAUUUCACUCCACAAAGCUUACCCUCUGAAGGCAACAUGAUGACAGGGAGGAUAAGAGUACGGAACAUUAGAAGAUUCAUAGGAAAUAUGUUUUCACACAGACUACAAAGCCGUUUUGUCCAUACAGUAGCUUGGUUUUAAUUUUGCUUUGCACACAAUUCUUGGCUGAUUUCAAGCACCAACAUAUUUUGGUGUAGACAUCGUUCCGUUUCCACUGCACAACAUAAACAUUGUAGUAUUUAAAAACAUGUUAAGAGUGAUAAAAUCUUGUGAGUAAUGAGAAGAUAAAUUACAAACGAUACACAUCAUAUCAAAAACAGUGGUGAAAAUAACAAUUAAACACUGACAAACAUCUAAUAAAUGGUUCCUUCUACGUAACACAAGUCUUCGUUUCCGUUUAACAUCAAAACAAAAACCACAAGCUUAAAAAUCUCUUUCUAAAUCAGAAUCUUCCUGUAUCACCAUUUUUGUACUAUAGUCAAAGUGCCAUUCGAUGCAUAAAACAAAAGAAUGCUUCUUUGGAGAGAAUGACGUGAUUGGAUAAGAUGUUGGAACACAGGAAUAGAGCCCUGCCCCUCUGGAUGCUUAGCGAGGGAGAACAUUUGCAUAACCCCACCUAUCAUCAUCGCCCUCUCAAGUCUGUUUAGUCAGUAAGCGAGCUCUUAUGAUCCUUCAUAUUCACACUACAUUGGACAUAACUUUACUAAUUUCAUAACAUUUCGUAUUGGAUUGGUUAAUAUUAUAGGCAAAAUUCACGCACUUAUGUCAUAACAUCGUACAUGGCGUGGUCGCUAAGCACGCAGACUUCCUGUGGACGCCCACCAAUGAGAGAGAGCGUGGGGCAGAGGAAUAACUAACAGCUGACGUGGAUUCGGGCCUCUGUCCCGACGUUGUCUGAAAUCCUUUCAAAUCCGUUUUUCCGUGACUGACUAAGCAUGUCUCAUGUUAACAAAGGAAAUGACCUCAUGACCUCAAAGGAAAUGACCUCAUGUACAAACCUCGCCCACCAGACGCUUAACACAGGCGUGCGAGCAAAUACUUAAGCGAAAGAGUAAAAACUAUUGGACGUAGAUCUGAAGAAUUUCCUUCACGAACAAAGAUGUCUUCCAUCAGACCCAAUGACAGCCAGCUGGCCACUACCAUCCCCACGAAAACACAAUGACAAAUGAUUAAUGACAGCAUCAUACUAGGCAUGAGUAUUACUAUUGCACAACAUGAUCUACCCUUUACAACAUCCUGCAAUAUUAAUUCCAUACAACAGGAUUCAUUUAGAGUGACAUUGGAGACACGAAAUAAAAGGAUAAAUGUAUUGAUUUGUUGUUGAUAAGCAACAGUUCAUCGACUGCAAACAGAGUGGACUCCAGAGCUACACUGCUCAGAAGUCAUAUUUCUACAGGACCAGUCUGAACGUCCGGAAGGUCUACAGGCCCAAGGACAUGAAGUCUCCCUGAGGCCACAGCCCUAGGCAGGGAAACGAGAGUCAAACGGUAAAAGUCAUCUUCUUUAUCAGACUGACAAACUCUCUCUCAGGUAAAAGUCAUCUUCUUUAUCAGACUGACAAACUCUCUUUCUCAGGUUCACUCGUGUUUGAU